AAAUGACGGUACCUGACUAAGAAGCCCCGGCUAACUACGUGCCAGCAGCCGCGGUAAUACGUAUGGGGCAAGCGUUAUCCGGAUUUACUGGGUGUAAAGGGAGCGUAGGCGGAGGGACAAGUCUGAUGUGAAAGGCUGGGGCUCAACCCCGGGACUGCAUUGGAAACUGUCCGACUUGAGUGUCGGAGAGGUAAGCGGAAUUCCUAGUGUAGCGGUGAAAUGCGUAGAUAUUAGGAGGAACACCAGUGGCGAAGGCGGCUUACUGGACGGUAACUGACGUUGAGGCUCGAAAGCGUGGGGAGCAAACAGGAUUAGAUACCCUGGUAGUCCACGCGGUAAACGAUGAAUGCUAGGUGUCGGGGAGCAAAGCUCUUCGGUGCCGCCGCAAACGCAUUAAGCAUUCCACCUGGGGAGUACGUUCGCAAGAAUGAAACUCAAAG
rnacentral:rRNA from 1 species